GUUGACAGCUUGUUGACAGCUCUGCAGAAUUUGGACUCGUGCGCUCCCACAGUUGCGAGGAAUUUGGAAUCGUCAGAUGAACGAAUGAGUGUCAGAGAAUAAUGUCUGGGGCUCCACCAGUCCAAGAAAGUGGGUUUAGGAGGAUGAGAAGAAGAAGGUACCACCAGAGAAGGAAGUGGACUUGGAGGCCAGGAGUAAGGUUGGUCCUGCAGACCCUGCAGGGAGAACCACAGGAGAAAUUCCAGAAGUGAGGGGCCAACACAUCACCUGAAGCCCAGGACUGAGGAGCCCCUGGUGGGUACAUGGGGUUUGAACUGUUCCUCAGGGUCUCUUCUGUGGCAUCAGGGAAGGCCCACCAAGGGAUGCUGGGCCACUGUGAUUUGUCUAUUGCAAAAUAUGAACACAGUUGUUGUUUGUUUAUCUCUAAAUAAAACUUGGCUUUUCUACACUGCAA